UGCAGAAGACCAACUGAUAACUAUAUUUUAACUCACCAACACGUUUGCCUAGGUUUUAUACGUGCGUUAUUUCGCUCACACCUUUUUUUCACCGAUUUUUCGAAAACCCAUUUAUUUUGCCAUAGGAUUUUUUUCUUUAGAACCACGAAGAUCUAAAUUGCUCACAGGUCACCCCCUCUCGAUUUACUAAGUUAAUAGAACACAACUUCAUUAGUGGAGAAGGUCUUGAUGACUUUUAUUUCGGUACAACAACUGGAAGAUUACACCGGAAGUGUGGGGAGCUCAUGGCUGUCGGUGUACGCGGGACGCUAACGUUAUUACAAAUACAAGGAUUUGUAAGGUGUUCAAUUUCAGUUGCACUGAAUUGAGAAUCGCCCUGAAGCUGCUGCAGGGACUGGAGUUUUACUAGAUUCAUUGAUGGAUCCGAAGGAAACUUCAACAGGCUCAUGGAAAUUCAGCAAGAAAGGUACAGACUAGUUUGAUUAGUUAGUCACGAUGGCAUAACGUGACGUUCAAUCUGGAGACAAACUGGUGAAAUUGAGGACUAGAAACGCUACAAAACGAACACUAACCACCUCUGCCUACUGACUGUUCCUCUCACUCCUAAACUCCACCUCUGCCUACUGACUGUUCCUCUCACUCCUAAACUCAACCUCUGCCUACUGACUGUUCCUCUCACUCCCAAACUCAACCUACUGACUGUUCCUCUCACUCCCAAACUCAACAUUUCUCUGUACUUUUAGCCAAAUCAUUUCAGUCCUCUUUUUAGCUCUGCCUUCAGGAGGUGAAUGUAAUGCACAUCUGGCUAUGCAAGACCAAUAACUGCCACACCAGUAACACAUCUGGAAGGAGUGAAGGUGAUUUUAGUAAUGAAACAACCUGACUGACUGAUUUUCAUGUCUUGGAAUGUUGUGUCCAAAAUCUGCUGUUUUAAAGCAAAAGUAUGCAGCAGCUUGAGAUAAUAGGCAACAAGUAUUGCUGUUAUCUUUAGACUCAUUUUGAUGGUAAGCACACAUCAAAACAGUUCUGUCAUCUGACAUAGACCACACCAUAAGAAAAGCUUUCACAGCA
ensembl:lncRNA